rnacentral:rRNA from 1 species
AAGUUACGGCGAGUGAAGCGGGAUGAGCUCAAAUUUGUAAUCUGGUGGACUCAGUUCAUCCGAGUUGUAAUCUAUAGAAGUGUUUUCCGCGCUGGACCGUGUCUAAGUCCCUUGGAACAGGGUGUCAGAGAGGGUGAGAAUCCCGUGCUUGAUACGACCACCAGUGCUAUGUGAUACACUUUCAACGAGUCGAGUUGUUUGGGAAUGCAGCUCAAAAUGGGUGGUAAAUUCCAUCUAAAGCUAAAUAUUGGCGAGAGACCGAUAGCGAACAAGUACCGUGAGGGAAAGAUGAAAAGCACUUUGGAAAGAGAGUUAAACAGUACGUGAAAUUGUUAAAAGGGAAACGAUUGAAGUCAGUCGUGCUCUCUGGGACUCAGCCGGUUCUUCCGGUGUACUUCCCAGUGAGCGGGUCAACAUCAGUUUAGAUCGCUGGAUAAAGGUAUUAGGAAGGUGGCUCCCUCGGGAGUGUUAUAGCCUAGUAUCGCAUACAGUGGUUUAGACUGAGGAACGCAGCUCGCCUUUAUGGCCGGGGUUCGCCCACGUCCGAGCUUAGGAUGUUGACAUAAUGGCUUUAAACGACCCGCUA